UGGCUCAGACAGUAAAGCGUCUGCCUACAAUGCAGAAGACCCAGGUUCAGUUCCUGG
rnacentral:tRNA from 1 species